rnacentral:tRNA from 1 species
CAGUAGCUCAAUGGAUAGAGCGACGGAAUCCGGAUCCGUAGGCUGCAGGUUCGAUUCCUGUCUGGC